rnacentral:rRNA from 1 species
UUUCUGAGCUCGCCGAGCGGCGGUCUUUGGCCGACCACUCCGCAAGUUCAUCCUCGCCCCUCGGGGCGUCAUUUACUGUGAAAAAAUUAGAGUGUUUAAAGCAGGCUUUAGGCUUGAAUACAUUAGCAUGGAAUAAUGAGAUAGGACCAAGUCGUAUUUUGUUGGUUGCGCGAUUCGGUAAUGAUUAAUAGGGACAGUUGGGGGUAUUCAUAUUUAAUUGUCAGAGGUGAAAUUCUUAGAUUUAUUAAAGAUGAACUACUGCGAAAGCAUUUACCAAGGAUGUUUUCAUUAAUCAAGAACGAAAGUCAGGGGAUCGAAGAGGAUUAGAUACCCUCGUAGUCUUGACCAUAAACUAUGCCGACUCAGGAUUGGCACCCUUUUUUAACAGGGUGUCAGCACUGUAUGAAAAAUCAAAGUCUUUGGGUUCCGGGGGGAGUAUGGUCGCAAGGCU